UGCUCCUAGUACGAGAGGACCGGAGUGGACGGACCGCUGGUGUACCGGUUGUGAUGCCAAUCGCAUUGCCGGGUAGCUAUGUCCGGAAGAGAUAACCGCUGAAAGCAUCUAAGCGGGAAACUUGCCUGAAGAUAAGUCUUCCCGGAGGCUUGACCUCCCUGAAGAGUCGUUCGAGACCAGGACGUUGAUAGGUCGGGUGUGUAAGCGUUGUGAGACGUUUAGCUAACCGAUACUAAUUGCUCGUGAGGCUUGAUCCU
rnacentral:rRNA from 1 species